CCUUAUCACCAUUCCAGAUUGAAUAUACCCGAUCUCGUCUGAUCUCGGAAGUCAAGCAAUCUCGGGCUUGGUUAGUACUUGGAUGGGUGACCGCUUGGGAAUACCAAGUGUCAUAAGCA
rnacentral:rRNA from 1 species